CUGGCUCAGGAUGAACGCUAGCGGCAGGCUUAACACAUGCAAGUCGAGGGGCAGCGCGAGGUAGCAAGUACUUGGCGGCGACCGGCGGAAGGGUGCGUAACGCGUGAGCAACAUGCCCGUAUGAGGGGGAUAGUCAUUGGAAACGAUGCGUAAUACCCCGUAACAACAAGGAUCGCAUGGUCCAUGUUUGAAAGAUUCAUCGCGUACGGAUUGGCUCGCGUGACAUUAGCUAGUUGGCGGGUAACGGCCCACCAAGGCGACGAUGUCUAGGGGAACUGAGAGGUUGGUCCCCCACACUGGAACUGAGACACGGUCCAGACUCCUACGGGAGGCAGCAGUGAGGAAUAUUGGUCAAUGGGCGGAAGCCUGAACCAGCCAUGCCGCGUGAAAGGAAUAAGGCCCUAUGGGUCGUAAACUUCUUUUGACGGGGAGCAAUAAGGGCGUCGCGCACGUCCGAUGAGAGUACUCGUCGAAUAAGCAUCGGCUAACUCCGUGCCAGCCGCCGC
rnacentral:rRNA from 1 species